CAUUUUUCACUUAACUUUAUCCUAUUCAAUCCCAGCCAGCUUCGCUCGCCUCUCAUGUCCUCCAUCGUAGCUACAUGUCCCUCUUCUUUUCUCUUCGAUAUGUUUUCUCCUCUAUCUCCUUUAUCUAUCCUAUGAAAUAGAUUUUUGUUUUUAUGGUAAUUUGUCUUCUUCUGCUGCUCCUUACAAUUUGGUAAGAGAUCUAAUCUCAGUUUAUUUAUUUGUAAUUUCUUCACUUUGUUCAUCUAUUUGUGCUUAAUCAAAUCUGAUUUUGGUUAUAUGUGCACCACAUAUUUGAUGUAUUGACGCUAUGAAUGUUAGAAUAGUAAGUUACCAACGAACGAUACAGAUUUUUACUUAUACAAACUGAUAGCACAUUUGUAUAUAUAUAAAGUAGAGAGCAUGAAAUAUAUGAGAACUUACUUGGGUUUGGUCUGUACACCUCAUAACGUGGGCAAUCAGGCAUUGGAAAGACAUAGAAAGGGGCCAUUUGCUGCCCCACUGACGCAUAACCCCUAACCAUGUUAUACUCUCCUCUUCCUUCUGCAAACCUGAUGGAUCCCAACUCCCAAGAGUAGCAAGUGAGAAACAGAUUUCACAUAUAGAGAAAAGUCUGUAAAAACUAAACACAAUCACUGAGGCAGCCCAGGAGAAAGAGUGAGAAAUUGAAGAAAAUCUAUAAAACGAACAAAUGGGGAAAGGGUGAGGGAAAAAAUUGAAAGAGUGAAGUAGAGGUCAAAUUCUAUAUUCCUCUGUAUUAAACAAAAACAUACAAAUUCUAUUUGCCAGAAUAUAGUUUUACGUAAAAUAGAAUCCAAAAACGUUGAUGAACCAACUUGAAGGGGUCACACAAUGAUGCAAACAUGCAACCAAAGAGACCUUAACUAAAAUAAGUCUACAACAGAUCUGUGCGCUUGCGUGUGGGCAGUGGGGUGGUUGGGUUUGGGGCCUGACAGCAAGUAUCAUCAGUAAAUCAUUACCCCACAUUCUUCAUCGCGUUCAGUGACAGCAUAUAGCCUUGAGCAAGAGCACUGAUAUCAUUUCUGAUGUUGCCUGCGCCAUGUGUUGCAUCAUUCAUCUCCUCUUUCAGUUUUUCAAUCUGCUGGUUGUAAAUUGUAAUCCUCUAAAGACGAGCAAAUUUCCUCCUACAAGCACAUUGAAAGAAGUUGGUUAAUGGCAGCUCAAACUUUUUUUUUAUAAAUGGCAGCUAAAGUUAGUUUUAUUUUCCUUCAACAAAAUUAACAAGGCCAGUCACUAACUAUAACUAUGUCUCAGAUAUUGAUGUUACCUUGAAGUCAUCAAUCAGUGCAAAGUCUGGAAAGAAUGGUAAAAUAUCUUCAAUUUUUAGCAGCCUAUCAGUUUCCUUGAGAAAUGCUAUUGCCUUCCGAAUAAUCUCCCUUUUAGUUUAUUUUUCCUGCUCAACAACAUGCUUGGCAACCAUAAGCCACAACUUCUUCUUCAAGUCUUCAUCGUCUUCGACCUUAUCAGCUUUGGCCAUAGCAAGCUCGGAUCAACCUAGUCAUCAUAGAUGUAAAGUCAGACGUAAUGCCAACAUAGACGUGACAUCAGAUUCAGUGGUCAGUUUCCUAAUCACUAUUGGAGUUUUUAUAUCCUAUUAAAAAAAUUUUAUAUGAAUCAACUAGGAGUUUUUAUAUCCUAUUAAAAAAAUUUGACCGUAGGGUCUGUUAACAAAUUUUCUAGUAAAGCACAUUUAUGGUAAUCACUUCAUUUAUAAGUCAGAAUGCAACGUCACCAUAAGGUUUAGAUUAUGAAACCUAUUCUUCUGGAUUGAUUGUUUAUCCUAAUUUGGUUGAUCAUUACUAAUAAUAGAAUCUCAAUAUUGCCACUGACAUCAAUUAAUGUAUAAGUUUAUGUCAUGCUCCUAUGUUUGUGUUUCUUUUUAUGCGACUUUAUAAUAUACUAGUGUUUGGAAGUUGGCUUAUGUUAUAAUUAGUUGUUUUGGCUCUCCAAAUGCAGUAGUAUUGGCUCGAUUUAAUUUAGCUACGAGGAAAAAUAUCACGAAGAAGAGGAUUGUUAUACUAUUUACAAUGUGGUUGCACAUGAUUACAUUGGUGAAUUGGUUUUUUCAAAUUAUGGGUUUGAUUAGGCAGAAAGUUGUAAGGCAACAAUAUUCUAUUUAUAAGUUGAAAGGACACGUUACAUUGAUAGGUUAGUCAAUGGAGGUGAUAAUAAUUGUAUUGAACAACUUAGGACGAAUAUGAGUACCUUUCUGUCAAUAUUUGUUUA
rnacentral:lncRNA from 1 species